GAUGAACGCUGGCGGCGUGCCUAAUACAUGCAAGUCGAGCGAACAGACGAGGAGCUUGCUCCUCUGACGUUAGCGGCGGACGGGUGAGUAACACGUGGAUAACCUACCUAUAAGACUGGGAUAACUUCGGGAAACCGGAGCUAAUACCGGAUAAUAUAUUUAACCGCAUGGUUCAAUAGUGAAAGACGGUUUUGCUGUCACUUAUAGAUGGAUCCGCGCCGCAUUAGCUAGUUGGUAAGGUAACGGCUUACCAAGGCAACGAUGCGUAGCCGACCUGAGAGGGUGAACGGCCACACUGGAACUGAGACACGGUCCAGACUCCUACGGGAGGCAGCAGUAGGGAAUCUUCCGCAAUGGGCGAAAGCCUGACGGAGCAACGCCGCGUGAGUGAUGAAGGUCUUCGGAUCGUAAAACUCUGUUAUUAGGGAAGAACAAAUGUGUAAGUAACUAUGCACGUCUUGACGGUACCUAAUCAGAAAGCCACGGCUAACUACGUG
rnacentral:rRNA from 1 species